AGCAGGGUAGAGCAGUCCGGUAGCUCGUCAGUCUCAUAAACUGAAGGUCGUCGGUUCGAAUCCGACCCCUGCUUCCA
rnacentral:tRNA from 1 species